CGCAUGAGUGCGGACGGGUGAGUAACGCGUGGGCAACCUGCCCUGUACAGGGGGACAACACUUAGAAAUAGGUGCUAAUACCGCAUAACGGGGGAGCCGCAUGGCACCCCCCUGAAAACUCCGGUGGUACAGGAUGGGCCCGCGUCUGAUUAGCUGGUUGGCAGGGUAACGGCCUACCAAGGCGACGAUCAGUAGCCGGCCUGAGAGGGCGGACGGCCACACUGGGACUGAGACACGGCCCAGACUCCUACGGGAGGCAGCAG
rnacentral:rRNA from 1 species